CGCACGCGGACUCCAGGACUACAGCGCCCACAAGGCGGCGCGGCGGGCGCGCGGCUGCGGGGAGGGCGGGCCCGUCCCCACUGAACGCGCCUUGAGGGCGGGGCCUCGCGCGUGGCGGGGCGCAGCUGCAGGAGCGUCCCCAGGGGGCAUCCUCCCACCUACGGCAGCGCCCGCCCACUGCCCUCUCCCCGCCCGGGUCACGAGGCCCCUCGUGCUGCGGCCCUGCCCCUGGGGCGGCCACCUGACCCCGACCGCCCCUGGGGCCCCCACCCCCGCCGGCGUCAGCAUCCUGGGGCGCCAUGCGCGGAAGUGUCGGUCCCUCGGGCGGGCACCCUGCCAUCCCUCUCCCCGCGUUCUUUCCACCCCCAGUCCCCCCCUUAGUCCCCCUCCCUAGCCCCCCUCCCGACCUCCACCUCCUGGACGAGGCCUUGUGCGUUCUUUUUUGCACCGUUAAACACCUGCCUUCCCGGCCGGAUCCCGGAGCACGGCGGGCCCACGCGCCCUCAGGGGUGGCCCUGGGCCGCCUUCCUGGGGCUCCAACAGGGACACGCACAGCCUGCUCUUGGGGACUGCACGGCCCCGAAUCCGGCGCCCCCAGGACCCCCGCCGCCCGCCCUCCUGCCUGACGGUGACCCCCACCGGCUUGUACGAAGGAGCAAGCCGGAUCCCGGACGCAGCCCGGGGCCACCAGUCCCCAUCCCCGCAGGGAGAGCCCGGGGAAGACCCGCGCAGGCCUGGCAGCUCAAGACUGCGGGUCCCAGGUGAGCGGUGAGUCUGGAGCAGCGCCCCUGGAAUGCACCCCUUCCCGGUUGUAGACGACACAGUCCACGACCUGCCUUCUGGUGUGAGGGGUGCCCUGGCUCUCCUGCCCACCAGCCGGGCAGCCCCACUGGGAAGCCGGCACAGCGCCCUUGCCCUAAAUGGCCGCCUGCCCAAAGCUCCGGCCUGGGCCUUCUUUCCGGAGUCCACACGAACAAAUUUCAAAGGAACUUAAAAAGGAUUUGUUGGCUGGAAACAGAGGAUCUGGGGUAAGUUGCAGAAUUUAAGGGAGCACUACAGGAUGGAGCGCCUCGCCUGGAGGGACUCCCUGCUUGGUGGGAGCCCAGGCUGUCUCCCCAGUACUGGCCUUCUCCACGGGCGGGCAGAGCCUGGCCCUGCUGGAAGACAGAAGGGGCAACCCCAAGGAGGAGGAGGAGGCCUUCCUUCCCUCCAGGCAAAGAGGAGCCGGCCAUGGGGCCAGCUCUCCAGGGCAGUGUGCUCCCUUUACGCGCAAGACAGGCCAGGAAGCCCAGAGGAAGCGGGGAUGAACAGCAGCGGGGUCCUAGACCGCUUCCCACAGAAGGUUGGCUCCCACCCCCUUCCCGCCUGGAAACAGCAAGGCAAGGAGCCACAGCCCGAAGGGGACCCCACAGGACCCACAAAGGCCAGUCCCUCACCUGUCUCUCCAGCCAGGUGGAGCCAAGCGAACCUUCCCCUGCCUGCGAGGGGCCGGCCCAAGCUGUCCUCCGGUCCACCUGUGUGGCAGGAGUCCUGGGCGUUCCCCAGCCACACAAGGCCCAGGUUUCCUGCAGGAGCUGCUUCGGAGUAGGGGGGUGGGGCUGCAGCCACAAACCGCACGUGGCCAUUAUAAUCUGGAGGCAGCUGCUCUGAGGGAGGAGCCAGGAGACUGGUGAAGACCUUACAGAAACCUCCAUUGAGGCUUCGCUGCGAGGAGUGGCCACAGACAAAAGGGUGUGGGCUUCCAGAGGGCUCCACCCAAAAUAGAGACUCACAAAAGCAGGUGCCUUGGGAGUGACACUGGCAUCUGGGAAUGGAUCCUGUGCUUGGGGCCUCAUCAGGCUCCAGCGGUCCCCGUCCUUGCGUAUUUCGUCAUUAGUUUGUCAAAUAGUUAAGUGCCUGAGCGUUAGAGAUGGGAGGGAGAGCUGGUUCCUGGGUGAAGCCCUGGGCUGGAGGGAUCAGCAGGGGCCCAGCAGUGUGGAUCCCAGCCCUCCAGCCUGUAGGCUCCAGCCAUAUACAGUGAUGUCUGGGGGCUGCAGGCCACAGACACCCCUUCCCCUCCUGGAGGGGCUCAGGUGGGCUCUGCAGCCCACCCCACAGCAGUGACCCAUCCCCAGCUCCUGGGCCCCCACUCCUCAGCAGCCUUAGCACCCAUAGUCCAGGCCCAAGAAAUCUCGGCCAGAGAAUGAGGACCCUGCCCACCCACUGCCUUCUGAGACCAACCAGCCAAUCCUCGGCCUCGGCUGGAGAGACCCAGGGCUGUCCCUGUGGUUAAGUUACCCGUCAGCAUCAGGGAGGCAGUGGCAUUCGAGCAGCCCUUUCCCUCAGCUGGUGCUGUUGUGGCUGCUGUGGCUCUGGAAGCGAGGCUUGGACCAAAUGCUAACACAUGGACACAUGCACAGAGAUACAGAUCCACGCAGACGUGCAGAGACGUGCACACACAGAUGGACACACAUGCACAGACACGCGCACACACUGAUGUGGUUUGGAUUCUUUGUUCCCCCCAAAUCUCAUGUUGGAAUGUGAUUCCGUGGUGGAAGUGGGGCCUGGUGGGAGGUGUUGGAUCAUGAGGGCGGAUCUGUCAUGAAUGGCUUAGCACCUUGGUGAUGGGUGAGUUCUUGUUCAGUUAGCUCACUCGAGAGUGGAUUGUUUAAAAGAGUCUGGGAACUCCCCUUGUCCUUCCCCUCCUCCCACUCUUGCUGUGUGAUACUGGCUCCCUGUCACCUUCCACCAUGAGUGGAAGCUUCCUGAGGCCUCACAGGAGCAGAUGCUGGCACUGUGCUUCCUGUACAGCCUGCAGAACCGUGAGCCAAUUAAACCUCUUUUCUGGAUAA